rnacentral:misc_RNA from 1 species
GAUGAAGAACGUAGUGAAAUGCGAUAAGUAAUGUGAAUUGCAGAAUUCAGUGAAUCAUCGAAUCUUUGAACGCACCUUGCGCCCUUUGGCUAUUCCAAAGGGCAUGCCUGUUUGAGUAUCAUGAACACCUCAACUCUCAUGGUCUGCCAUGAUGAGCUUGGACUUUGGAGGUCUGCUGGCCUGUGGUCAGCUCCUCUCAAAUGAAUCAGCUUUCCGGUGUUUGGUGGCAUCAUGGGUGUGAUAAAUAUCUACGCUUGUGGUUUUCCACCAUGUAACCUUCAGUGAUGGGGGUUCGCUGGGGCUCAUAAAUGUCUCUCCUCAGCGAAGACAGCUUUGUGAAUGUUUGAUCUCAAAUCAGGUAGGACUACCCGCUGAACUUAAGCAUAUCAAUAAGCGGAGGA